UUCCUGUCCAGAUGAACUCACUCCUGAUGCACUGGCCAUCUUGUUUUCUGAAAACUUCUUUCUCUUUGGUCCUAUUUUAGACUCAGAGCAGUUUGGGAGGCAACUGGUUUUAUUUGCACAGUUAUCACCUGUUCCAAUGAAGAAGAAACACAAAGAUGUGCUUCUGUGAUUUGAAAGUUUAUCCAGGAUUCAGGCUUUUUAGGAGUCUAUGAGGGUAUUGCUUGGCUGAAAUUCUCCACAUUGCCACUGGUUACUUAUUAUCGUUUCAUCCACAUCAGUGCUUCUCAAACUGCUGAGCAUUAGUGUCACCUGGGGAGCUUUAAAACAUUCUGAAGCCCAGCCCAUACCCCAGACCGGUUAGAUCACAAGUGGAGAAGCUGGGGCCCCAGCAUUGGCAGUUGUUAAAGCUCCCUGGGUGGACCCACCGUGCGGAAGGUGGGAGAAGCAGCAAACGCAAUUCUUAGUCUCUAAGUGUGGUCCCCAGGCCGGCAGCAGUGAGAGUUUGUUGGAAACACAGACUCUCAGGAGCUACUGAAUCGGAAUGUUGUGUCUUCCACAAGCUCCCAGGCCGUGUGCUUCGGUGCCAGGAAGAUCAGGCUGCAGGGGGCGUUGCGCUGGUUCCUGACAGGGACUCAUUCUUUCACCCAGGAUGAAGUGCGGUGGCAGGACCAUAGCUCACUGCAGCCUCAAUCAACUCCCGGAGCUCAAGCAAUCCUCCCACCUCAGCCUCCCAAGUAGCUGGGACCACAGAUGAAGGCUUCCUAUGUUGCCCAGGCUGGUCUCAAACGUCUGGCCUCCCGUCCUUAUGCGCCAGGACAACAGGACUGAGCCACCGCACCAUCCAAGUCUCUUGCUUUUUAAUAGCUUUCUUAUUUUUCUUUUAUUCAUCCAGGGGUUACUUUGUGAAUUUAAAUAAUUCACUUAAAAUAACAUUUUGAAAUUUAUCAACUUUAUCUACUGUUGUAUGAGAUAUGAGGAACUUAGCAAAUGGACUCAUUCUUCAUUUUCUUCUUCCUCUCUCUCCUGAUUUUUCCAAGUUAUGUUAUUAUUUUUAAAUUUCCAAAGCUUGUGUCAUUUAGAUUGUUCUAUAAAUAUAAUUAAGCAAUCAGUGGUUGUCUAAGUGUGGUUUCUUCUUAAAAUGUAUACUCAAUAAAUACAUUUCCAGUAUCAUGAAUAUAUAAAUACUUUUCACUCUAGGAAAAAUAAUAAAAAAAAGGUCUUGAUGUCCUAAGCCAUUAGGUUCUAAAAUGUGUCUUUUUGUUCAUGUAUAUUGUUAUAAAAGUGAAUAAAUGGGAUUUUUGAUACCAUG
ensembl:lncRNA novel transcript